UCACGGAUCGUGCAAUUGGUUAGACACAAGCAGACAAUGCCUAAAAGUGUGGGUUCGAGUCCCACUCCGUGAA
rnacentral:tRNA from 1 species